rnacentral:rRNA from 1 species
AAAGGAAUAGACGGGGGCCCGCACAAGCAGCGGAGCAUGUCGUUUAAUUCGAUGCAACGCGAAGAACCUUACCAGGUCUUGACAUCCAACUAAACUCGCGGAGACGCGAGGUCCCUUCGGGGGAGUUGAGACAGGUGGUGCAUGGUUGUCGUCAGCUCGUGUCGUGAGAUGUUGGGUUAAGUCCCGCAACGAGCGCAACCCUUAUGAUCAGUUACUAACGGGUAACGCCGAGGACUCUGAUAAGACUGCCGGGGAUAACUCGGAGGAAGGUGGGGACGACGUCAAAUCAUCAUGCCCCUUAUGACCUGGGCUACAGACGUGCUACAAUGGCGACUACAAAGAGGUGCGAGACUGUAAAGUUAAGCGGAUCUCAAAAAAGUCGUCCCAGUUCGGACUGUGGGCUGCAACCCGCCCACACGAAGUUGGAGUUGCUAGUAAUCGCGGAUCAGCAUGCCGCGGUGAAUACGUUCCCGGGCCUUGUACACACCGCCCGU